CUUAGCAACCGCCCUGGCGACUGUCGCUGUGACCCUUUGCGCCCCCGCGGUCCUGGUCUUUUCCUUUUCACCUCCGCUGCGGGGGAGCUCGGCUUCAUCCCAGUAAGAACCAAGGGGAUACAACCGCGGAGGCCGCAGGAGGACUAAGCAUGGAUGGCAGCCGGAGAGGUAAGGGACUGCGCGGGUCCAGGCUGCCCAUGGCCUUUAAGGUUGCCUGCCACCUCCUUCAGUGUCGCAGGGUAAUGGCUGGAACUAGAAACGCCCUGAGCUCAGGGAGGCCCCGCAUGCCCGGCUCUUUGAUUUACUGCCUGACAUCCAUCCCCUGAUCCUGGGACCCUGCAGCCUGUAUCACUUGGGUAUCUUCUAGGCGGAAUACUAGCCUGGUCUUUGAAAUCUAACCUGAGCCCCAGAUCAGGCCGGCUGCUUUCACAGAAACGGCGCUCAGUUUGCUCAUCUUGAAGGUAGUGGGUAAAUACCCAUGCCACGGAGUUCUUGGGGGUUAAGUGCAGAUAAUAUACAGCAAGCUCCUGGUGCAUUUUAAGUACAUGAAAUCUUCCACUCCCUCCCUCCUUCUCUCCCUCCCUCCAGAACUGACUCACCCAGAGCUGGUUAUAAUUCAGUGGCUCCAAGGUAGGAGCUGGGAUACUGCAUUUGUAAUAAACUUCCAAUGUGGCUGGUCAUUGGACUGAAUGUUUAAUAGCAAAAGACUACCUUUGAAUCGACCUGCUAAUGAUUAAUUAAGCCUUGCUUUCAUCUUGCAUGCACCUUUAUUCUACAAUAAUUUCAUCAAAAUAAGUGUUCUGCUUAGCAUACAAGGUUGGGGGGGGGGGAGGAUAUUCAGACACCAUCCCAACCUAAGCUCUAGAGGAAAACACACCAAAUGCUGUUAUGGUCUUCAGAAAUGGUUACAAAAUAAACUUUAAACCUUUGCAGUGUUCCACCCGUAACCCAACACUUGUUUACACACAAAUCCUGUUAAAUGGGUAUUAUUCAUAUUUUGAAAUGAAUAAAACAAAAGAUUAUAAAUAAUUCCCCUAGUGUCAUGGUUGGUCACAGAACAAGCCCCAGACUAAGAAGCUAAAACCCUCAAGUUCUUUUACUUACAUUUGUUUAGUAAUAGACUUAGUGAGGUUUUAGUGUUUAUUUUUAAAUGAGGUGACAAAUGUAAAUGGGUUUAUACUUUUAGGUGGCUUCAGUUUUAGCCCAUAACAUAUAUCAAUAACAUCGUUCCUGGUAUAAAUGUUAUAUUCAAUAAGUAUCUGGGCUAGUUUUUAUAUACUAAAUUAUAAGUAACCAUUCAUUUAGUUGAAACCUCAAUGCUUAAUUUUAGUUUAAAGUAACCGUCUUAGAUUCUAUUAGUUCCCUCAGCUACUUCAGAAUAUUAGAUACUAAAGAUACCCAAGGGGGAAAACGUUCCUCCCUUCCUCACAGUAAGCAAAUGCUUUUGUGAGGUCAGCCUUCAAGAGUGUGAUACGGCAGAAAGCCAUCAGCUUGAAGAACAACUGGUCUUGUAUCUAGUCUCUGAUAGCAACUAGUGAGGUCUUGUAUCUAGUCUCUGAUAGCAACGAAUGAGGCGUCCUGACAGUUACUUUACGUUGCCAAGCCUUAGUUGUUGAAAAAUGGGGAGCUAGGCUUGAUCACCUUUAAGGCUCUAUUUCCAGUGUCUGACGGGAGGAAGGAGAAAGGGGAAAAAAUGAGACUAUUGGUCCACCAUUCAUUGUAUAUCAGCAACCUGUGCUGGAAAAACAGGAGGAGACAACCUGUUGGGACAGCCAACUGAGAAGAGCUUGGGAAAGGUUUUUUAAUCUGUCAUUCCCUUGGAAAUACCUUUAAAAGUGACCUAUUCCUAAAAUUGCAGAAAUGUUGGGAAAGUACUGAAACACCAUUUUUUUUUCCUCAGUGAAGUUUCUUCUGAUUGCUAAUAAAAUCAAAUUCUCUAGGAAACUGAGCUGAAGAAUUUGACUGUCCCACCAACACCACAUCCAUCUCAUGCAGCAAUUUUUAGUCUUAAUUUAGACAAGACUGCUCUUUUUCUGGGCAUUUAGCUUAAGACUGCUUUCAGAUCAUUCUGGGUCCAGUCAAGAUAUAGAACCUGUGCCUAAGUUAUUUAAAUGAGUAGAAAGGAUUGUUAAACAGUCAUAAAAGUAGCUAUAAGUAGUAAUUACUACAGUAUUACCUAACACUUGCAUUGGC
rnacentral:lncRNA from 1 species